UACGUAGGGUGCGAGCGUUGUCCGGAAUUAUUGGGCGUAAAGAGCUCGUAGGCGGUCUGUCGCGUCUGCUGUGAAAUCCCGAGGCUCAACCUCGGGCUUGCAGUGGGUACGGGCGAGGCUAGAGUGCGGUAGGGGAGACUGGAAUUCCUGGUGUAGCGGUGAAAUGCGCAGAUAUCAGGAGGAACACCGGUGGCGAAGGCAGAUCUCUGGGCCGUAACUGACGCUGAGGAGCGAAAGCGUGGGGAGCGAACAGG
rnacentral:rRNA from 1 species